CCUACGGGAGGCAGCAGUAGGGAAUCUUUCACAAUGGGCGAAAGCCUGAUGGAGCAACGCCGCGUGCAGGAUGAAGGCUUUCGGGUUGUAAACUGCUUUUAUAAGCGAGAAAUAUGAUGGUAACUUAUGAAUAAGGAUCGGCUAACAACGUGCCAGCAGCCGCGGUCAUACGUAGGAUCGGAGCAUUAUCCGGAGUGACUGGGUGUAAAGAGUUGCGUAGGUGGCCUAAUAAGUAGCUAGUGAAAUCUGGUGGGUCAACCAUUCAGACUAUUAGCUAAACUGUUAAGCUCGAGACCGUUAGGGGUAACUGGAAUUUCUAGUGUAGGAGUGAAAUCCGUAGAUAUUAGAAGGAACACCAAUAGCGUAGGCAGGUUACUGGGACGGUUCUGACACUAAGGCACGAAAGCGUAGGGAGCAAACGGGAUUAGAUACCCCUGUAGUC
rnacentral:rRNA from 1 species